rnacentral:lncRNA from 1 species
AGAUAACCAGGAUAUGAAAUUUACUUUACAGUGACUCGUGGGCCCAUAAGGAACAAAAGUGCACAAAGGCAGUAAACCUAUAGUUUUUGGAGUAGUAAAGCCGACUAUAAUCCUUGAUGAUAUCUACUAUCCACAGGCUACCUCGGGCCUGAAAUGGUUAAAAAGGAGGGUGGUGAGAUUAUAGAAUCCCAGUGAGUAAACAGAUACCAUCUAAACCAUCUAAAGUCGAGUAAAUGGAGGCAGAUAAAACAAUUUAACAUACUUAAAUUCAUCACCUUUCAACUUGUUUCAACCAAAUAAAAUCAAUUCAUAUAAAUCGAGUAAUUAACAUGGCUUAUGAAUUUCUUAAAACUUUGGCUCGUGCCAAAAUCAUUAUCAUACUCAGUCAUUAGGGAUACCUUACGCGAGAGCUAUCCCAAACCGAGUCCGCCAAGGCUGUUAAAAGUUAUGUACGCAUAAAUCAUGUUUUUAUUUUGAAAACAUAGCUGUUCCUUGGCGUUGGUUGAGUUCACCCUCACGUGGUGGUUUGGGUGAAGUGAACUCUAAAAUGUUAACCUCAGGAGUUAUCCAACUGCGCCUCUCAUACUGAGGUAAGAUAUGACGGGGUUUACCGUGCCCCUCUAAUAGGCUGGUCCACGAAAACCAGCCCACUGCAGCAAGCUCAACCCCACCAUAUAAUAAAAAUUCAACAACAUGACAUGGCUAUUUUUAUUAUUAUCCAGCCUAUCAAGGCAAACAAUAGUUUAUAUAUUUCAACACAAAUACCAAUUCAGCCAUUCAUGCCAAUAUUGUCAUAAGCCAAUCAAUUAGAAUCAUAAAUUCACAACACAUCAAAUGGUUUUCAAUUACUCUAUUUUCAAAGCCAUUAUUCAAUUUCAAGACAAUUUUAUAAAAUUAUUUCAUUUAAUCACAUUUUUGCUUAUAAAACAUAAAGAUUUGCCAUUUAAACUCAUUUUUCAUAAAUCACAAAAUCGGAUAAAAACCACUUUAGAUAAUUAACACGAUAGUAAGGUUACUCACAGUACUAAGAGUUCGAUAUACUCCUAUUCCCGAUCUUCGAGCACAAUCUCUUUACCCUUGUUAGAGGGCUCACCAUCUAUACAUCAUACGUGACACGAAUUUCAAUAAAUUGUGUCAAUUUAUCAUAAACUAUUUCAAGCUCUAUAAAUCUAUAUGAAUGCACUAAAUGUGAUGCAAAAUGUCCGAAUAGCUGUUUAAAUACGAUAUUCGACCUAAUUUGCACUAUUCUCGGUGUAAUUGGCUAAAACCUCCAAUUUAACUCCAAAUCAAUUUCUUUUACUUUCUACACUCCAAUUAUACUUAAAAUACCUCAAUGACUGUGAAUAUGAUUCAAUUUAUUAGUCCGAACCAUAAAUCGCACAUGUCUAUACAUUAGGUAAACAUUCAGAUUUUCAUUCCAAAAUUUCCCAUUAAAUUUCUAGCCUCACCAAUCAUUAAAUACCACUAAAAUAUCAUGAAAUAUCAUCAAUUUCAGCCUCAAUAUCCUCCCUAGAAAACUCAGCCUCUUGUGGGUUUGUGAAGAACAAAGUGAUUCCUUGCUAGAUUUUCAUACUUUCCAUUACCAAACAACCAAAAACACUUAAUUAGCUUGAAAUCUAGCAAAAUCAAUGCUCAAAACCUCUCCUCUCAAAUUUGGCCAGCAUUGGUUCAUCAUGUAAACUUGAGUUCUAAGCAUGGAAAAUGAAAAAGAAAGCAUGGGUAGUGUAAAUCACAAGGUAAAAUCACAAAAUCUUACCUUUAUUAGCUUAAUCCCUUGAAAUCCCACACUUUUUCUUCAAUUUUCCUACCUAGGGUUUGUGUUCUUUCCUUUCCUCUUCAGUUCAUGCUUUGGC